GAUGAACGCUGGCGGCGUGCCUAAUACAUGCAAGUCGAGCGAACAGAUAAGGAGCUUGCUCCUUUGACGUUAGCGGCGGACGGGUGAGUAACACGUGGGUAACCUACCUAUAAGACUGGAAUAACUCCGGGAAACCGGGGCUAAUGCCGGAUAACAUUUAGAACCGCAUGGUUCUAAAGUGAAAGAUGGUUUUGCUAUCACUUAUAGAUGGACCCGCGCCGUAUUAGCUAGUUGGUAAGGUAACGGCUUACCAAGGCAACGAUACGUAGCCGACCUGAGAGGCUGAUCGGCCACCCUGGAACUGGGACACGGUCCAGACUCCUACGGGAGGCAGCAGUAGGGAAUCGUCCGCAAUGGGCGAAAGCCUGACGGAGCAACGCCGCGUGAGUGAUGAAGGUCUUCGGAUCGUAAAACUCUGUUAUUAGGGAAGAACAAAUGUGUAAGUAACUGUGCACGUCUUGACGGUACCUAAUCAGAAAGCCACGGCUAACUACGUG
rnacentral:rRNA from 1 species